rnacentral:misc_RNA from 1 species
GAGUUCUCAAACCAUACUGAUUUUAUUGGUGUGGCUUUGGAUGUGGGGGUUUUUGUUUGCGGGCUUUUGAAGUCGGCUCCCCUGAAAUGCAUUAGUGGUAUCUGAGCAGAGACUACUUACAGGUGUGAUAAAUUAUCUAUCUAUGCCUCGGUAUGCUGCAUGAAACAGAUGGCACCGCUUAUAACAAGUGGAAAUUUGACAA